rnacentral:rRNA from 3 species
GACUCUCGGCAACGGAUAUCUCGGCUCACGCAUCGAUGAAGAACGUAGCAAAAUGCGAUACUUGGUGUGAAUUGCAGAAUCCCGUGAACCAUCGAGUUUUUGAACGCAAGUUGCGCCCGAAGCCUUUCGGCCGAGGGCACGUCUGCCUGGGCGUCAC